CUGCAUAUUAGUUUAGUCGGCACUGGGCUGUUUGAUAUAAAGUAAGUGCGUGGUGUCGGUGCAAAUAGCGGAUUAUAUAAGGGAUUUGAGCCGCGACUGCAUUGAUUUUCCAUUGGUCAUGGCCCGCAUCGUUGAGAGCAAUUUUGUGCCACUAGCGGUGGGUGUGGUCGCCGUACUCGCAGGCGCCCUGAUCGUCCAUUAUCUGCUGAAUAAAAAGUCCACGAAACCACGCCGGGAACCCAAUCGCACCGCCAGGCUGCGCACGCUUGUGGAUCCCAACGACAAGUAUCUGCUGCCACUCAUCGAAAAGGAGAAUCUGAGCCAUGACACUAGGAGAUUCCGGUUUGGAUUGCCCUCCAAGCAGCACGUCCUUGGCCUGCCUGUUGGUCAGCACAUUCAUCUGAUUGCCACCAUCGACAAUGAACUGGUGAUUCGGCCAUACACACCUAUAUCGUCCGAUGAGGAUGUGGGCUACGUCGACCUAGUCGUCAAGGUGUACUUCAAGGACACGCAUCCCAAGUUCCCGACCGGCGGUAAAAUGACGCAACACCUGGAGCAGCUAGAGUUGGGGGACAAGAUCUCGUUCCGUGGUCCCUCGGGUAGGCUACAAUAUCUCGGCAAUGGCACCUUCUCCAUAAAAAAGUUGCGCAAGGAUCCGCCCAAGCUCGUGUCCGCCAAGCGGGUCAACAUGAUUGCCGGCGGCACUGGCAUUACUCCAAUGCUCCAAUUGGCCAGAGAAGUGCUCAAACGCAGCGACAAGGAUAAGACUGAACUGGCGUUGCUCUUCGCCAAUCAGAGCGAAAAGGACAUUCUGCUGCGUGCGGAGUUGGACGAACUGGCCGAAAAGCAUCCUGACCAGUUUAAGGUCUGGUACACAGUUGACAAGGCCGGCGAAGCUAUUAAACGCAUGCCGCGAUUGGGAAACGCUCGCUUUGUAGCCUGGUCCUACAACACUGGCCACGUGAACGAUGACAUGAUGCAGCAGCAUCUGUAUGCACCGGACGAGGACACGCUGUGCCUACUGUGUGGUCCUCCGCCCAUGGUUAACUACACCUGCAUUCCGGGCCUGGAACGGCUUGGUCACCGGGCCGAGCAGAGGUUCAGCUAUUAGGAGUUGAUCCAGCUGGGAACAUAGAUACUAUUCCUGUGUUUUGAUUUCAUUUUACAAUGCUGAGCCAGUGGGUUUGAUUGUGUUCACCAGGUUGGCAGUACAGUGUUGGCUUCAUCAAUGAGGACAUGAUCGCCGCCCACCUGCUUCCGGCCAAUGACGAUACCAUUGUGUUGCUUUGCGGCCCACCACCUAUGAUUAACUUUGCCUGCAAUCCGUCGCUGGACAAGCUUGGCUACCACCCGGACACCCGUUUUGCCUACUAAUAUAAUGGACAUUAUAGGACGAAAUUGCA